GCUUGGUUUUCAACUCUAUACUUUAUUCUCCAAUCUCUUUGCAAUUAUUCAUUUUAAAAGUUCUCAAGUAGUUUUUAUUAGUUUUUUUUCAAAAGUUUUAACUCUAACCAGUGGGAGUGAUAAACUAGGGGGCUUACUUAAUCAUGGCUGGCACCAUACAUUACAUGUAUUUAUUUUUAAGGGAUAAAACAUCCUUGUAUUCCUGGGAACCUGAUCUUGAAGUUCAUUCUUUUCAUAUAAUGCUAGAUUUGAUUGCUAAUAAUUUCUUCAUGACUUUUACAUCUAUUUCACAUGACUGUUCAGAAUACACAUGAUCUUUCUGAAGUACAACUAAUAUUCUCUUGGAAUGGGUUGUGGUUGUCAGUGUCUGCUCCACAACCAGUUUGGCCCAGUUCUUACCCCUCAAGGUCUCUCUCCACAAUCCCACACCCAAAUGUACCCAGCGCUGUUGGGGUCCUUGACCGGAUGCGACCAGCAUGGGGUACUUGUGGAGGUUUGCGGUGUAAGAAGGCUUCAGGGAAUGGUCAGUGGAAUCUGAAGCUGGGGGUUAGC
rnacentral:lncRNA from 10 species